ACUUUUUUAGUAAAACUAUUACAAAUGACUUCCAAUCAUUUAGCCUUGGUUAGACCCCAAGAAAAAGUA
rnacentral:tRNA from 1 species